rnacentral:rRNA from 1 species
CUACGGGUGGCACCAGCUGCGAAUAUUUUACAAUGCACGAAAGUGUGAUAAAGCGAACCAAAGUGCUUAUCGUAUAGAUAAGCUUUUCUUCAGGGUAAAAAUCUGGAGGAAUAAGGACUGGGAAAGACCGGUGCCAGCCGCCGCGGUAAUACCGGCAGUUCGAGUGGCAUCCAACUUUAUUGGGUCUAAAACAUCCGUAGCUUGCUAUUUAAGUCUCUUGUGAAAUCCGACGUCUCAAGCGUUGGGCUUGCAGGAGAUACUGAAUAGCUAGAGAUCGGUAGGCGUAAGGAGUACGGCGAAGGUAGCGGUAAAAUGUGUUAAUCGUCGUUGGACUAACAAUUUGGCGAAGGCACCUUACGAGGACGAAUCUGACAGUGAGGGAUGAAGGCCAGGGGCGCAAAACGGAUUAGAUACCCCAGUAGUC